ACGUCGAGCCGCUGGGGGCGGGUCACGCAGAGCGCGCGGCCGGGAGCGGCGGUGGCGGUGAGGCUGCGGGCUGGGAGCCGGCGUUGGGCUCCUAGUAAGCUGGACGCCGCGCAGUGUUGAGCCCGCCGCCCUCCGGAGCCAUGGAGAUCGGCACCGAGAUCAGCCGCAAGAUCCGAAGUGCCAUUAAGGGGAAAUUGCAAGAAUUAGGAGCUUAUGUUGAUGAAGAACUUCCUGAUUACAUUAUGGUGAUGGUGGCCAACAAGAAAAGUCAGGACCAAAUGACAGAGGACCUGUCCCUAUUUCUAGGGAACAACACAAUUCGAUUCACCGUAUGGCUUCAUGGUGUCUUAGAUAAACUUCGUUCUGUAACAACUGACCCCUCUAGUUUCAAGUCUUCUGAUACCAACAUCUUUGAUAGUAAUGUACCUUCAAACAAGAGCAGUUUCAGUCGGGGAGAUGAGAGAAGGCAUGAAGCUGCUGUUCCUCCUCUUGCAGUUUCUAGCACUAGACCUGAAAAAAGAGACUCUAGAGUUUCUACAAGUUCGCAGGAGCAGAAAGCCACUAAUGUCAGACAGACUUAUGAUGAUGGAGCUGCAACCCGACUAAUGUCAACAGUGAAACCUUUGAGGGAACCAGCACCCUCUGAAGAUGUGAUUGAUAUUAAGCCAGAACCGGAUGAUCUCAUUGAUGAAGACCUCAAUUUUGUGCAGGAGAAUCCCUUAUCUCAGAAAAAACCUACAGUGACGCUUACAUAUGGUUCUUCUCGCCCAUCUAUUGAAAUUUAUCGACCACCUGCAAGUCGAAAUGCAGACAGUGGUGCUCAUUUAAACAGGUUGCAAUUUCAACAGCAGCAAAACAGUAUUCAUGCUGCCAAGCAGGUCGAUAUACAGAGUAGUCGGGUAUAUGAAACAGGACGUUUGUGUGAACCAGAAGUGCUUAAUAGCUUAGAAGAGACUUAUAGUCCCUUCUUUAGAAACAACUCAGAAAAGAUGAGUAUAGAGGUUUGUAUAUACUUUUAAAUCCUAGCUUGUUAGGCUGAAAAUUGGCAGGUCUUAAUAUUAAAUUAUAUAUGAAAUAACUGAAUACAUAGUACAUAUUGCAAGUUUGUUUUUUUGUCUUUUUAGGGCCACACCUGCUGCAUAUUGAGAUUCCCAGGCUAGGGGUCUGAUCAGAGUUGGAGCCACUGGCCUAUACCACAGCUAUAGCAACGCCAGAUCCGAGCCGUGUCUGCUUCCUACACCAUAGCUGACGGUAACACUGGAUCCUUAACCCACUGAGCGAGGUCUUGUGGAUCCUAGUCAGAUUCAUUUCCACUGAGCCACGAUGGGAACUCCUCGAGUUUGUUUUAAACUGAGUUUUGUGCUACUGAACAUAAUACGCUAGUCAGAUUUUCCUCUCCACUCUUUCUUCUACAGAUGUUUUACAUCUUGCUUACUUUCCUGGGAUGCUAAUGUUUGAGAUAGCUUUAACCUUACCUUAUAAUUUUGGGAAGAUCAUAGGUCAGUUUUAGAUCCUUCAUGACGCUUGCUAGUAAACAGUUGAAUAACUUCAUUUUAUUGGUUUCCUCAACAGUGCUGUAUGCUGCUGUUUAUAAACAAGCACUAGUUCUUGUUUUAGUUAAAUGUUGGCUCUUAGAGAGAUUUCCUGUAUUUUUUUUAAGAAACCAGGGAAAUAGCCCAUGAUUCUUAAUAUGCUUGGCUUUUUCCUAAAAAGAAAAAAAAUGUUCUGUGGUAGAACCUUGUUAUUUUCUGAGACCAGUUAAGAGUAAAUUUAUCUGGUUGCAGGAAGAAAACUUCCGGAAGAGAAAGUUACCUGUGGUAAGUUCAGUUGUUAAAGUAAAAAAAUUCAAUCAUGAUGGAGAAGAGGAGGAGGAAGAGGAUGAUUGCGGGUCCCGUACAGGAAGCAUCUCCAGCAGUGUGUCAGUGCCAGCGAAACCUGAACGGAGACCUUCACUUCCACCUUCUAAACAAGCUAACAAGAAUCUGAUUUUGAAGGCUAUAUCUGAAGCUCAGGAAUCUGUAACAAAAACAACUAACUACUCUACAGUUUCACAGAAACAGACACUUCCAGUUGCUCCCCGAACUCGAACUUCUCAAGAAGAAUUGCUAGCAGAAAUGGUCCAGGGGCAAAGCAAGGCCCCCAGAAUAAGUUCCCCCAUUAAAGAAGAGGAAACAAAAGGAGAUAACAUAGACAAAAGUCAAGGAAAAUAUCAACUGAUAUCAAUGAAAUUAAAGGCAUGAAAGCAGCAGUUUUGACAGUGGAAGCAAAUCUUUUUGAUUUAAAUGUUAGAGUGUCACAGAAUGAAGCAAAAAUUUCAUCUUUGGAGGUUAAAAUGAAUGAAUAUUCAGCGUCAGCAUCUGAAUGCAACAGACAAUUUGAAGAUCUUCAAGAGGAAGUAGAUUUUGAAUCACAGUCAAGGACUACUGAUGUUAAAAUAAUUGGCUUCCUUAGAAACAUUGAGAAAGGAACUCAGCAGAGACAGUUGUUAUCCCGACUGCAAAUUGACCCAGUAAUGGCAGAAACUCUGCAGAUCAGUCAAGCUGAGAUGAGUGAACUGAGUGUGGCACAGAAACCAGAAAAACUUCUGGAGCGCUGCAAGUACUGGCCUGCGUGUAAAAAUGGGGAUGAGUGUGCUUACCAUCAUCCUAUUUCACCUUGCAAAGCUUUCCCUAACUGUAAAUUUGCUGAAAAAUGUUUGUUUGUUCAUCCAAAUUGUAAAUAUGAUGCAAAAUGUACUAAACCAGAUUGUCCCUUUACUCAUAUGAGUAGAAGAAUUCCAGUACUGCCUCCAAAACCAGUUACAACACCAGCACCACCUUCCAGUAGUCAGCUCUGCCGUUACUUCCCUGCUUGUAAGAAAAUGGAAUGUCCCUUCUAUCAUCCAAAACACUGUAGGUUUAACACUCAGUGCACGAGACCUGACUGUACAUUUUACCAUCCCACCAUUACUGUACCACCACGACAUGCCUUGAAAUGGAUUCGACCUCAGACUAGUGAAUGACAUCCAGUCCUACCUGGCAGAAGACUGUGGAGCUUGAAAGUUUCCAUCUACUGAUGAAAGAUAUUCUACAGAAUUUGUCAAAUCUUUGAAACUUGGAAUAUAUUGCUUUCAUAAUAUGAAAUUUAUUGCCUAUCUGAAGUGUCUAAUUUUUCAAGUUUGUAAGUUUAUUAAGUGAUUUUAUUAACAUUGGGUGUUUUUGUUGUUUUGACUAUGAAAAGAGUUUAAGGAAAAGCUGAAUUCUAUUAAAACAUUUGAGGCGUGUUUGUACACUGCUGUUUUCAAGUAUCAGCAUUUACAACGUGGUGUGAUACCCUUGUCAGUCCUGAUCGUCCAGUUUGAGGCUACGGUGUCGCUGUGUGUAUAGUGAGAGGUACCUGGGGGUGUCUUUAUUCCAGAAGUCGACAGUUGCUUUCACUUGUUCCACUCUGAAAACAGGAGAGGCCCACAGUGCUGAGGUGGCUUAAAACAGUUUUUCAGUCCUGCCUUUUAACUUUAAGUGACUUUAGUUUGGAAAGCAUGAUACGAACUUGUGGGGUGGCUUGCCACUUCGGUAAAUGGUUCCCAAGUAUCUAAUCCCUUGCUUUCUGAGAAGGGAUGAGUGAGGUGGGGCAUGUACAGUGAAAACAGUUGGAGUGGCAAGGGCAAAAAAUAGGAACAAGUCCUUAAAGUGCUUUCAUUUACUGUUUACAGAUGCUUUUUAAAUAAAUAUUUUGGGGAUCUACAUUAUCACAAAAUUAUACAAAAUUUUUUGUAAGUAUAUACAUAAGGUAUCAGAACAAACUUUAAAUCCACAAGAUAUACAUAUAUAUUCUCACAUUCUGAAAAAUAACAUUCUCAGAAAUAACUCCACAGAAAAUUUAUUACUGAAGAUAAUUUUUUAAAUGUAAAAAUUAGAUUUAAAUAGUAUAUUUUAAAUGACAAACUAUAUAAUUACAGCUAUAAGGUGGGUAAACGGCAAAACAGGAGUAAACUUUUGGACUACUGAAUGAAAAUAGAGUUUUGUGUGUGGUUUUAAAAUUCGUUAAGGCAAAAAGUGUCAAAUGCUUUAGAAUUAAAAUAAUAGGUCACUGAUUUUAAAGACUUGAUGUAGUUUUUUAAAAAGUAAAGCUAAAAAUCAGUUAGAAAAGCUAAAAGUUGGUUAAUGCAGAAGGGAUAGUAAUGACUCAAAAACAUUCUCAGGACCAAAUUAACUAACUAUUAAAAAAACAAAACAAAACCAACUCAUUGACUUGCUUAAUCAUAUACCCAAAGGAUAAUAAAACUACAUGUGUAAAAGUCCACAUUGGCGAGCCUAAAAACCAGCAGUCUCUUGUCUUAUGGCCAUUGCCUUUCCAUUGAGAGAAGAUUAACUCAUUCGUUAUUAAACCGUCUUUUAAGUUACACUUUGUUGUGCUCAUCAGGCUUGAAACAAGAGAAAAAGUCAAAGCACACAGCAUACUUAAAGCUAUCGUGUAGCUAGACUUAGAUGAAAUGACAAUUCCAUUUCAUUCUAAAAAGUUUCACUCCAUUGACUUUAAGGCAUUUGUUCAUUCCAUUGUUAACUUACUUGAGAUGUUUUGCAGAAGAAAUUUGUUUUAAAUUGUAUUUCCAGAAAUGUAAACAUUUUUAGUGUCAUCACUUAUAAAUGGAGUAUAUAUAGUGGUAUUCCCAUAAUUCCACUAUAAAGAACAUAUGGAAAACAAGGGCUUAAGCGGUUGAGUUGAGCCAAUUUUACAAGGAAAUAACAUGCUGAAAUCAGAUGUGUGUGUGUGUGUGCGCGCUAUUUAAUAGACACAGCCUGGAGACACGUGUAAGAGUUUAAUCUUUCAGUUGCUAUGGUUUAUGGGCAAGCUAAACCAUAUAUUUUUUUUGGGAGAGUAUUUGUUGAUAGCUUGGUCCAAAGUGAACCACCAUCAAAAAAGAUGACAAGGAAGGGACUACAUGUGGCUGGCAGUCCACAGUGAGUGGCACCAGGCUGCAGUGUGCUUUGGCAUGUGUUACACACAAACGGACUAAAGGUACCAUGAGAAGGCUCACGUUACAAAUUUGGGAACUUGGUCAAAUACAAGAAUUACAUAAAAAUAAUUCUCUGGGUUAAAAAAAACAAACACAGGGCAGAAGCUACAUCAUUCACCUUCCCUUAGCUGAUGGCUGGGACAAGCACGGUGGUUGUGGAUGACACUUAAAAUCAACAUGACCUUUAGUCAUGAAACUAACAACAGUGAUUAAGGCUGACUUAUUGGGUUGGCCGCUUGCAAGAACUUUUUGGAGUUUCAUCCUAUAUGGUUUACUUGCUUAAGGUUAUAAGUUUCUGCCUGCACGGUAAUGGAACUGGAAUUUUUUUUUUUUUUUUUAGCCAAAUGCAGGCAAACUUGACUGAGAAGGAAAAUUUGAAACUGAAACAGCCUCAAAAAUAGAGGGAGAGUGUGGUUCAGGGGAAUUUUUUGCUUUAAUUUAUUGAUUGCUCCUUUGUAAUAUACAUGAAUAGAAAUUUAACAUUAGUACAAUGUAAAAUUGGGCUUAAUAAGGGAGAAUCCAUUGAUAUGGAAAAUGAAAGAAAAUCAUUGUAUGUUUUAAGCUUCUUUACUACGAACAUCCCAGUUGGUUCUUCAGACUGCUCUUCAGGGCCUUAAAACCAACCAGGAUCAAUCACUGGCUAGGCUUUCCACGACAUAGUACAGCCAUCUCCGUUUUUAAUAUUUACAAGGUGUUGCAUAUAGAAAACAUUUCCAGAAACCCGAUGGGGUCUAUUAUGCUACAAAGAUAAUUAACACAUAGUAAAAUAAAAAUUCAUAGGACCAAUAGAGCAUCUUAAACUUCUUCAUACUUAGAAAAAUAUAUUUUUUAAUAGUAGUCUACAUAAUUUCCAAUCUUCAGGAAACUACAGAUAAGCUAAACGGCAAAUUCCUGAAUGGCAAGUACUGAUCUUUGGCAGCAUUUAAAGUGAAGAGGAGUAAAGAUCUAAGAGUUGAGCCCCAAUCCACCAAAAAGGAAUUUUUAUAGACAAGUUUUACAAGUGGACCUAUAUUCAUUCCUUUUGGGAGUCAGCCUAUGGGGUGGCAUACAUCUAACUAAAAUUUCUCCAAUAGAAAAAAAGCUAUAAAAAUUUUAUUUCAUUGCUAAAUUGUAUAACUUUGUAAACGUGAACUUAUUAACACUUUAGUUUACAUGUUGAACAAAUGUUUCUAUUAGACUACAACUUCAAAUAUUCACUAUUUGCUCCUAGUUAAAUACUAUUGCUAUUUAAAAACCUUAGACUGUACACCAGUGAAAAUGGUUAUUAAUCAUACUACUUUUUCAUUAGGAUAUAAUCAUGUUUUACUGUUUUAAUUAUAGAGAUUAAUUCUGAACGUAAAAAGAUUGACAGCUCAAAAAUGAAAAUGCAGUGAUAUGAUACUAACUUUGGAUUUGUUCCUGAAUUUAAAACUGCCAGGAGAAAAAUGUCCUUUCUAAACAGGACUUUGUUAAUGCUUAAGAAGCUUGUCUGUAUUUUUCUUAGGGAAAACGAUGUUCACCUUUUAAAAAACUGUGAUUCUUUAGAGUGAUGGUGUAUUUCCUUCUGUAAACACAAGGAUAAAAUAUUUUAAUAAACA